UUUCUUCGAGAGCCCUGACCCUCCUUGGCAUCUUCUUUGGCCCUAGGCAUCUUUCGAGUCAUCCCUGUCCUCGCCCUUCUGCAUCCUCCAGAGCGAUCUAGGUUAGUCCCAGAACCUUCAUUUUUCUUCUUGCCACUUAGGGGCCUUUUCUCCUCCAUUUUCUUCUGUUGUAUUCCCCCGAUUUGGUCUCCCGCAACCUCUCAUCCUUUGUCCUGUCUGAUUUCUCUGGGAUCUUUAGGGCCUUCAUUUGAAGUCAUUCGAAAUGUCUUCUGGCACCUCCGUCUCUAGCGGUUUCGGGAGUUCUUCCGCCUCAGCCCCCC
rnacentral:lncRNA from 1 species